AGGACGAUGGUUCUUUUUCGUCUCCUUAAAAGGCCCGGAAGUUCGGGCAUUUUCUUCAUCACCAUCUUUGCCGUGGUCGUCUUUUCCUUUCCUUUCCUUUCCUUUCCUUUUUUUUCUGCACUCCUCUGUCACACUUCUUCUUCUUGAAUAUUAUUGGCGGUUGGCAAGAAACGUUAGUGAGGUCGGGAGUUGCUGGUGCCUAUCUCCAGCUGAUGUUCCGAGCGAGAGGCAGGGUCACCCUGGACAGGUCGCCAGUCUGUUGCAGGAAGCCUGAGUACCUGGAGAGAACCCACGUAUGGACAGGGAGAACAUGCAAACUCCAUGCAGAAAGAAGGAACAUGCAAACUCCAUGCAGAAAGAGCCUGGGGCCUGGAAUUGAACCCAGGACCUUCUUGCUGCAAGGCAACAUUGCUACCAACUGCACUACAGUGCAGCU